GAUUACUCUGACGUCCAACGGCUGUUUUGCCAGACAAGCUGGGGCCGGACCCAGCUUGUCUAGCAAAACAGCCGUUGGAUGUCAA
rnacentral:sRNA from 1 species